rnacentral:rRNA from 1 species
UGGGGAAUCUUCCGCAAUGGACGAAAGUCUGACGGAGCAACGCCGCGUGAGUGAAGACGGCCUUCGGGUUGUAAAGCUCUGUUAUUCGGGAAGAACGAUUCGUUUGUGAACAAUGAACGGAAGUGACGGUACCGAAAGAGAAAGCCACGGCUAACUACGUGCCAGCAGCCGCGGUAAUACGUAGGUGGCAAGCGUUGUCCGGAAUUAUUGGGCGUAAAGAGCGCGUAGGCGGUAUGGUAAGUCUGUCUUAGAAGUGCGGGGCUUAACCCCGUCAGGGGACAGAGACUGUCAUACUGGAGUCUCGGAGAGGGAAGCGGAAUUCCUAGUGUAGCGGUGAAAUGCGUAGAGAUUAGGAAGAACACCGGUGGCGAAGGCGGCUUUCUGGACGAGCACUGACGCUGAGGCGCGAAAGCGUGGGGAGCGAACAGG